ACAAAGGCUCGUCCAAACUGCUGUCUUCUUGCGCCCCCCACUGCUGACGAGCCGCAGAGAUCAAAAGGAGCCACACAGCCCAUUUCUCUCUUCCCUUUCCUUCCCUCUCUCCCUCCCGGCACUGAGGGCUCCGUUUGGCGGCCAGGCUUUGCUUUUGUGCGCGCGUUUGCUGCCUCUCCCCGGAGCGACUUCUCUUUCCCCUGCAAAAGAAACCUCCUGCAACUUUGCCAAGGAGGAGAGGAGAGGAAAGGACGACGGCGCAAAGAUAUUCCGAGUCCUUCCUGGACUGCAGAGCUUGGCAACGGAGCCUUUCCAGGUGGGGACCGAUUCCUGGACGACCCCCGGGAGCGAAAUUUGGGCUAGUCUAACGGGUCCGAUUGCCAAGCAAAGUCUGAAACGGCCCGAAAUUUCCACGCUUAGCCCAUUUCUUUGGAGGAAAGUCCUACCCACAAACCAGUAAGGCCGAAGCACUGGACUUCAUCAUUUAGAGCAGCUGAGUCUUCUGGGCGGCGUACGGUGGACACGGAACCGUCAGCGAUUCACAGGUCGCGCAGCCUAGAGACCCUUUGAGCGCUUUUGGGCCAGUCUGUCUGCCUUUCUCUGCCUCUGCCUCAGUUUGUCUUCUCUGAAAUGGGAAUGUUAAUCGUCUAGGAUUGCCGGAUUGCCUCGAGAGUAAGAUGCAAACUGCGAGGCGCGUUGUAUGGCCUGCGCAAAACAAAACCUAGCGAAACGCUCGCUGGAGCCGAAGCUCAACGCUUGAGGAACUCGGAAAUCAAUCCCACUGUUUUCAAUGAGGUUUCCUCGCUAGCAGGCGUGUUUAGCGUUGUAGCAGAAUCCCAGUGGCAGAAUUAAAAGAACUGUUGCAUUGAAGCCAGUGGGACUUUAAGGACUUAACUUGGCCUGGGCUUUCGCGCCCAGUUUAAUUUCGGGCUCAUCUGACUGAGAGAUGGACGGCUGACGUCAGAUAUCAGUAACAAAGAGCCCGGCGGCCCCUGAAAGACCAGCACAUUUUGGAUGGCAUUUGCUAGUCUCUCAGGUGCCGCGGGACCCUUUCUUUUGUUUUGGUGCAACCGACUAACAUGGCUACCCGCCCUGAAGCAGAAAUGUAUCCAACACACUUCCGCGUAUUUGAAUGGACGUGCUGUAACGGCAUGGUAAUAAAAUCUGCUUUUCCAUUCAUUUUAAA